CUAAUAGGAACGUAGUUUAAAACACACACUGAAUUGAUAAGUGGUUAAAAAUGAUUGCACCUAAGUUAAUGUAUAAUUUACAACUGUAGUUUAACUAAUAAUAUUACCUAACUUAAGACUGUGGUCAACUUUACUCUUUUUUUUUUUAACGAGAUGUAAAAUGCACAUUUUUUUCUCUGGUGCUAACAAGGAUUAUACAAAGAAUUUAUUUUAAAAAUCGUACGCUAAUCCAAACUCACACAAAAGCCUAAACAGGGGACAGGGAGACGAGUUGGAACCUGCAUUAUACUGUGCCAGGGAACACCUAUGCAAGACAGUAUAUAGUUAAUCACCACAAUAGUAAUUUAUGAGGAUUACAUCAUCUAAGAAUUCUCAACUUAC